CAAGCAGAAAUGGUGUUAAAAUAUUAUCUAGCAGGAUAAGGGAAAGUUACCCUUAAAGAAUAUGAAAUUUAUCUUCAUCAGAUUCAUAUUCUUACCGAAGUU
rnacentral:ncRNA from 2 species